rnacentral:rRNA from 1 species
GACGCCGCGUGGGUGAUGAAGCUCUACGGAGUAUAAAGCCCUGUCAGGGGGGAAGAAAGUCGCAGGUUCGAUAAGGGUCUGCGUUUGACGGUACCCUCAGAGGAAGCUCCGGCUAACUCCGUGCCAGCCACUGCGGUGACUGAGCGGGCUGGCAAGGCGCAUA